rnacentral:rRNA from 1 species
UAACACGUGAGUAACCUGCCCUUGACUCUGGGAAAGCCUGGGAAACCGGGUCUAAUACCGGAUACGACCUGUCACCGCAUGGUGGCGGGUGGAAAGAUUUAUUGGUUUUGGAUGGACUCGCGGCCUAUCAGCUUGUUGGUGAGGUAAUGGCUCACCAAGGCGACGACGGGUAGCCGGCCUGAGAGGGUGACCGGCCACACUGGGACUGAGACACGGCCCAGACUCCUACGGGAGGCAGCAGUGGGGAAUAUUGCACAAUGGGCGAAAGCCUGAUGCAGCGACGCCGCGUGAGGGAUGACGGCCUUCGGGUUGUAAACCUCUUUCAGCAGGGAAGAAGCGAAAGUGACGGUACCUGCAGAAGAAGCGCCGGCUAACUACGUGCCAGCAGCCGCGGUAAUACGUAGGGCGCAAGCGUUGUCCGGAAUUAUUGGGCGUAAAGAGCUCGUAGGCGGUUUGUCGCGUCUGCUGUGAAAGCCCGGGGCUCAACCCCGGGUCUGCAGUGGGUACGGGCAGACUAGAGUGCAGUAGGGGAGACUGGAAUUCCUGGUGUAGCGGUGAAAUGCGCAGAUAUCAGGAGGAACACCGAUGGCGAAGGCAGGUCUCUGGGCUGUAACUGACGCUGAGGAGCGAAAGCAUGGGGAGCGAACAGGAUUAGAUACCCUGGUAGUCCAUGCCGUAAACGUUGGGCACUAGGUGUGGGGACAUUCNACGUUUUCCGCGCCGUAGCUACGCAUUAAGUGCCCCGCCUGGGGAGU